AACAAUCAAAAGAUCCCAAACUCCUUUUCCCUUUAGGAUUAGUAGUCCUAAAUGCCUCUGAGACUUAUAGGAUUGGGACAGGUACUAGCAUGCAAUAAGUAACGAUACAUUUCACGCUUUAAUACCUUAACGAGGUGGGAAGGAUAGAAUAUAGAUAUGAUGACCAGUACGCUAAUAUCACAUGCGAUCCCUCUUUUGAGGAGUGUAUACCCGGUAUUACAUUGAUGUGAUCCGUAUUAUUUGAAAACCUAGGACCCCCUUUCCCUUCUAC
rnacentral:lncRNA from 1 species